rnacentral:rRNA from 1 species
AUGGUGCCCGGGGCGAGGAUUCCGGUGGCGUCCGUGCUGCGUGGGCUCGUGGCGGUCGCCGGCGCGGCCGUCCUGUAUUUCUCCGGCGCCGCCGAGGCCCGCGUCCUCCUCACCCUCGACGACUUCGGCGCCGUCGGCGACGGCAUUGCCAACGACACGCAGGCGUUCGUGGACGCGUGGACGGCGGCGUGCGGCUCCGAGGAGCAGGCCGUGCUCGCCGUGCCCGUCGCCAAGGCCUACCGGAUCUGCCGGUGCAGCUCUCCGGCCCCUGCAAGAAGAAGCUCAAGCUGCUGGUACAUUGCCGGGACGAUCGUGGCGCCGGCGAGCACGGACGAGUGGGCGGGGAGGGACCCGAUGAAGUGGCUGUACAUCUACGGCGUGGACGGCCUGUCCGUGAGCGGCGGCGGCACCAUCGACGGCGUCGGGCAGGAAUGGUGGGCGCGCUCCUGCAAGCGCAAGAAGACCCAGCAAACUAUUGGCAAGGAAAUAAAAGGCAAAAGAGAUUAA